rnacentral:lncRNA from 1 species
GGAGGGGAUAAUGAGGAGGUGGGGUGGGAGAAACCGAGGCGGAGAGCUAGGGCAAGAGGGAGGGUAGGGGAGUAGGCGGACACGGACACCCUAUCCCACACCUUCCUACCCCCCCCUUCCUUCCCCCCGGGGGCCCCUUUCUCCUCCCCCCCCCCCCCAGUAGAAGUGGAUCUUAGCAAGACAGUCGGCUUCCCCAGACGGGGCGCCCCGCCCACUUCUUCACUGCUCCCACUCCUCACCGCCUAGACCCCCACCUUCCACCCCCCAGCCAUUUGGGGGCUUGGUCCUAGGGUCGAGCCCCAGGCUGGGCACCCAGCUCAUUUCCAUCCCGAAGCCCGCUUUUCCCUCUCGGUUCUCCCUCCUCCUAGCCCCGACGUUUCUCUAAACCCUGGAGGAGGAGGAGCAGCAGCAGCAGCAGGAUCCGCACAUUGCUAACCCGCUCUAAGUGGCUCCGAGCAGCCAAACUGGGCAUGCUCCGUAGCUUGGGCAGGUUUGGGUUGCAAGUAGAAAGCUUUGGCUCUUAAGCCGGGAGGAGAGAACAAGGAGAGAGAGGGAGGGAGAGAGGAAAAAGGGAGAAAAAGAGAGGGACACACAGAGAGACAGAGGCAUACACACGCAGAGCGCGAGAGCCCCGAGCGGCCGGAGAGGACCGCCGGUGCCCAGCGCUGCCACCAUCCAUUUGCGAGACGCUGGCACUAAAGAAACCCACCCACCGCCCCUCCGGCUGAUGGAAAGACAUAACUUUUACAUGAUGAGAAAUCCUGAAAUCAUUUUUUGAAAGAGAAGAAGUUCUCCUCUUCUUGACUGACCAUUGAUCUCACUUUAUCAAGAGCUGCUUUGUAAGUACUGUUUACAUCCCUGAAAUACAUACAUUAUAGACUUGAUAGUUAAAGUAUUGUGUUUUGUCUUGACUAUGUUGAAAUUCUUUUAUCUCUCCAAAUGUCUGUACUCCAAAUAGUACACUCAUAAUAAAUGCUUGUUGAAUCAAUAUAAGUACCA